CGGAAAACUGGGGAUAAUACCGGAUAUGUAGGAUGGCCUGGAAUUGGUAUCCAAUGGAAAUGGAUGCGUGCGCCGAAGGAUGGAUCUGCGGCAGAUUAGGUAGUGGGCGGGGUAAAUGCCCACCAAGCCAGUAAUCUGUACGGGUUGUGAGAGCAAGAGCCCGGAGAUGGAACCUGAGACAAGGUUCCAGGCCCGACGGGGCGCAGCAGGCGCGAAACCUCCGCAAUGCACGCAAGUGCGACGGGGGAAACCCCAGUGCCACUCUUAACGGGGUGGCUUUUCUUAAGUGUAAACAGCUGUUGGAAUAAGGGCUGGGCAAGACCGGUGCCAGCCGCCGCGGUAAUA
rnacentral:rRNA from 1 species